CGGAGAGGGAGCCUGAGAAACGGCUACCACAUCCAAGGAAGGCAGCAGGCGCGCAAAUUACCCACUCCCGGCACGGGGAGGUAGUGACGAGAAAUAACGCUGCGGGGCACUAUGUGCUCUCGCAAGCGCAAUGAGAACGCUUUAAAGCUUCUAUCGAGUACCAACUGGAGGGCAAGUCUGGUGCCAGCAGCCGCGGUAAUUCCAGCUCCAGUAGCGUAUACUAAUGCUGCUGCGGUUAAAACGCUCGUAGUCGAAUUUGGGUUGCCGGCGGGCCUAACACAGUUGUCUAGCGCAUUGUGUUUGGGCUGUAAGCGAGCUGCGCCAUGCGCGUAGUGAGCCGCCGGUGUCUUGUGCGUUAACGCGUGCUUGGCAUCGGUCGCCGGCACCACCUGUCGAUGCGCGCGUCAUUCUCUUAAGUGCGAGUGGCGUGUGUUCGGCAUGUUUACUUUGAAAAAAUUGGAGUGCUCAAAGCAGGCGUACACAUGCUAUACGCAGCCUGAACAGUGGUGCAUGGAAUAAUAGAAUAGGACCUCGCCUCUAUUUUGUUGGCUUUAUCAUUGGAGGCGAGGUAAUGAUCGAUGGGGACCAUCGGAGCCGUACGUACGGCAGCGUUAGAGGUGAAAUUCUUGGAUCGCUGCCAGACGAACGGAGGCGGAGGCUCGCGGCUAGCGGGUUUUCUUCGACCAGAUGAGCGAAAGUCAGAGGUUCGAAGGCGAUCAGAUACCGCCCUAGUUCUGACCGUAAACGAUGCCAACCAGCGAUCUGCCGUUGUUCAUUAUUAAACGACUCGGCAGGCAGCUUCCGGGAAACCAAAGUUUUCGGGUUCCGGGGGAAGUAUGGUUGCAAAGCUGAAACUUAAAGGAAUUGACGGAAGGGCACCACCAGGAGUGGAGCCUGCGGCUUAAUUUGACUCAACACGGGGAAACUCACCCGGGCCGGACACUGUGAGGUAUUGACAGAUUGAUAGCUCUUUCUUGAUUCAGUGGAUGUUGGUGCAUGGCCGUUCUUAGUUGGUGGAGUGAUUUG
rnacentral:rRNA from 1 species